AAAGAAAAGUCACUUCCUUAACUAAAUAUUCAAAUCUUACAUCAUGUUCACAAAAGGAUACAUCGAGUCCCAAAAUACAACCAUUAAAAGUCAACUACACAUUUACAGCCCAGAUUCCAAUCAAAAGUAUAAUCUAGUCGGCUUUUCCAAAAUCUUCCAAUCCAACCUGUUAAGGAAAACAAACUAAUGGGAUGAGCCAAUACUUAGUGAGGCCAGGAAACACACAUGCAAACAUAUAAUCCAAGUAGCCACAAAUUACAUAGUAAGUAAAGUUAUAAAGUUCGAAUAAUUCACAUUUCGAAUAGGAAAAAUAAACAGAAACAAUUCAAGGAUACUGUAGCUCUCAGGAGCUAAAUUCCACGUAGUCGAGUCGAAGUCUUGAUCACAUUUCACGUUGACACUCUGUCAACCACAUAAGUAUCAAAUCCAUAGAUACACCACUUUUCUUCGAAUCCCGUCACCGUUACACCCCUUACUGGGCCCGCUCAUCAAAGUUUUUUAUAAUACUCGAGUAUAUCAUGGCAAUAUUGCACGAGUAAUGCCAAGCAAGAUCUCUCCAAUAGAUCAUGCUCUACGAAUAUCUCAUGGUUGGCUAAGCUUAUCGACCAAGCCCAUGCUGGCUCGAUUCGCAAAGUUAACCAACGAGUUUGGGCGUCCCCCGAAUACGAAUACGAAUACGAAUAUAAAUACGAAUACGAAUAUAAGUCAACGAGCAACGCUCAAAUCGACGAUUCCAAAUAGGAAUCACAAAUACGGAUCACAUAUACGAAUCAAAACAAAUACGAAUCACAUCCACAUUACCAUGUACAAGUCGGAUAUGAAUUCAUAUAGCAAAAUUCGAAUAUAAUUUCAUUUGAAAGAGCACGAGUGCGGUAAAGUACACUCUCGUCUCAAAAUUUCAAAUUUUCAUAACGGAUAAGAAACAGAUAACCACUUAAUAUCAAAUUCAUGCACUUGACACUCACCAAUCGAAACAAGGGAGUAAGUGCGUAAACGAGCCUUUAGGUGUUCCCCUCGAGAUCCUCUUGUAGGUCUCCUUGAGCACCUGAGCAAAUAGUAAUUGUCUAUUACACACUAUCGCUUAAAACCCCUAAUUAUCGAGGAAGAUUGCACACUUGUACAAUCUAAAAAAAUUUCACGAAAAUGAGCCUUAAUUACUCGUAAAUCGAGGCUAAAAAAUGAGGUUUUAAAAUACAAGUGAAAUCUGAUUUUCAUCUUUGAAAUCAAGUGUAAAACGGUUUAGCAAUAUCGAAGGAAAAUAGAGAGUUCGCAACCCUCAAUUUCCUUUAAGUUCGGAAAUUUCAGAUUUGUCACCCAUAUUUUGAAAAAUCGUAUCUCAUUCUCUACAAUUCCAAAAUUGAAAAACUUAGUGCCAUUGGAAACUACUUCCAAAGUACUAAAAGUUCCUAGAAGACACUUUUCCAUGAUUCUAAUUGGAAAAUAUUCGAAAUUUAGCCCAAAAUUGCUGUUUUAGAAAGUCAAGACAGAUUUGGGUUGAUUUUUGACAAAGUUUGAAAAUUCGGCAAAAUUCAUACAAUUAAAGCUAGCCUCUGAAAUUUGGAACUCUAUUAGAGUUGUAAUCCAGGUUUAAAACAAAAUAAGUGGAAUGAGAAUUGAAGUUUCGAGCACCAAGAUAUGGUAGCUCAAAGUUACCCAAAUUUCCUUGUUAAACAAGGGUUUUCCAAAAUCACGUCACGAACUUUGGAACUUUAGUUGAGCAAUGAAACGGCCUCGGAAUAAUACCAAAAUUAGCAGUAUAAUACUACCAUAUAAGGGUUGUUCCUCUACCAAAUUUCAUGGAGAAAUAAGCACAGAAAGUGGGUUAACAAAACCGUUGAAAUCACAAGAAAUUCUAAGGCUAAGUUGCCUUUGAACUUCCGUUUUGUCGUUUCCAAACAUUUGGUCAAGGAACAUCUCAAACAUGGUUCAUUCCAUUAGAAAAUGUCCAAAAUAUUUUCAAGGUACAUUCGAUAGAUGAUUUACAAUAAGAAACUUUGGAUAACAAGUCCCAAACCGUAGUUAGUUUCAAAUCUGUCCAAAACACUGUUUUCGUUCACAAAGUCAGUUUUGAAUUUCAAUCAUAAAUCACUCAAUUCAACUUGGAAUUGAGAAUGGUUGGUGGCGUUAGAAAAUAGACUCAUAAGGCUAUAUUUUCUCAGAAGAAACUAUUUUCAAAAUCUAUCCAUAACAAGCUCAUACGUGAGCAUCAAAUCACAGUUCAUAAUCUGCCUCCCAGUGACAAACGAAACAGGACAGCAAUUUUUAAACGAAUGGUUUGGCUCACUCGAGAGGAACCAGAAUGUGUCUUUUAUACCAAAUGAAAGCUGGGAAUGUCUAGUUUCCAUUUCCACAAACGGCACUCAAAUCUGACAUCGGAGAGAUGAAUUAUAGCCGAAACAAGAUGACUGUCUGUUAGUGACGGGAAUCAUUUUCCAGUUUUCAAAACUUUGGAAAUCACUUCAUUUAACCAACUAAAUCAUAUUAUUUUUCCAUGAAACUUUUUACACAAUCAGUAUAACAUGUAAAAAACAUAAACAAGCCAUUAGAACCUCAAAAUCUUGCACAAAAGUGGUUGAACAAACCAGGGGCAAAAUGGUCACUUUUUCCCUUUGCACCUCAUUUGAGUUUCCAUCAAUAACCCAACAUUAAUCCACCAAUAUAAGCACUAAACCAACAUUACUUUCAUCAUCAAUCACCAAAUCAGUCCAUAUACCCAAGGUGGGAGUUUAUAGAGCCCACACGACCAAUUUUCCAUCACAAACAAGCUACCCAUAAACAUGUAAGGGCUUAAACGUGCAUUACUACUUCCAUGAAGCAAGAUUUGGAGAGUUGAUCGGGCUCACCUUCUUAGAUGCACAAGGACAGAAUUUUCGGUCCCCUCUUGGUCCAAGAAAUUCGUGAAAACAGCCCCUCCUUCUUAGCUAGAUACAAACUCCAAGGGUUAAGCUAGUGUAGUUCAAUUUUUGUGUGAUUUGGUGAUGUUUUGUGCAAGAAAUGAAGCGGAAAAAUUUGGAAGCUUGGAGUUGUUCUUCCUUCCUCCUUGGCCGCUGGAAUGAGAGAGGGAAAUGAGAGUGUUUGGCC
rnacentral:lncRNA from 1 species